AUCCUCCAAGGCUAAAUACUCCUGACUGACCGAUAGUGAACCAGUACCGUGAGGGAAAGGCGAAAAGAACCCCGGCGAGGGGAGUGAAAAAGAACCUGAAACCGUGUACGUACAAGCAGUGGGAGCACCCUUUGGGUGUGACUGCGUACCUUUUGUAUAAUGGGUCAGCGACUUAUAUUCUGUAGCAAGGUUAACCGAAUAGGGGAGCCGGAGGGAAACCGAGUCUUAACCGGGCGUUAAGUUGCAGGGUAUAGACCCGAAACCCGGUGAUCUAGCCAUGGGCAGGUUGAAGGUUGGGUAACACUAACUGGAGGACCGAACCGACUAAUGUUGAAAAAUUAGCGGAUGACCUGUG
rnacentral:rRNA from 1 species